rnacentral:piRNA from 1 species
UUACAGGGAAUGUAAUUUUGGCUAAGC